UGUGCGGCCACUAGUUUUGCAACAGAUGAUUUUUAAAAAGUAAGAAGUGCGAAAAGUGAAAAUUGAAAAUCUGUUUGGCUAAAUCAACAUUAUUAAAACAAAUAAAAGAAAAAAGGAGUAGCAGCAAAGUGAGAAAAGGAGUUUUUGUACAAGAUGAGUAAGGUAAGCAAGCGUCACCUAAGGAGAAUAAUAAGUAGGGAAAGAAAAAAGAAUCGUGAAAAGUUAAGACUAGGUAGAAAUUACGCUGUGUCGACCGUGUCCACUGCUAGGAUUGCUGGAAAUGUAGAGGAGGUUCUACCAUAUGUGCCAAGUCGCUCAGUGGAAGUCCCAUUUCAGCAGAAAUUGAAAAUGUGGUCAAUUCGUAAUAAAAUAAGCCACAAAAGCCUUUCUGAACUGCUUGCACUUCUUGCAGCAGAAAAUAUUAAAGUACCUAAAAGUGCACAAUCUCUAUUAAGAAAUAAGCCCCAGUUAAUGGUGCAAAAUAUGAGCCCGGGACUUUUUUGUAAUUUUGGCAUUAAGGCGCAGCUAUAUAAAAUUGGGGAAAAAUUGCUUGAUUAUAACACCAUAAUUGCAGAUAUUCAUUUUUUUUAUGGAAACAAUUACUAAUUUUUCUUUUUUUCUUGAGCAUUUCAAAAAAUAUGGAGCACCAAAUCCCAAAACGUCGACCACAGCAAUUCCAAUGAAAAAGGCAAGAUGUAGAUGGCAUUGACACUGCCCACCUUGGACAAAACAUUAGUGUAUCCAGUGAAUGCACUAUAGGUGAAGACAUCUUCGAAAAUGUAUUUAGAAAACUACUAUUACACUUAAAAUGCCUUAAUUUUUAGAAUCACGUGGGAUCAGCGUUUCAACGUCGGCCACUAAAUAUACCAAUGAAUCCAACCAAGGCGUGUUUGAAGUUGUUUGCUGCAGCCACUGCAACACGUUUGAAAAGCAGUUACAGGAUAUUGGCAAAAAAUUAGACGACCUGCAAUUGAUAGUCGAAGCACAGAAUACUGCUAUAAUGGAUGCAAUAGCGGUCCAAAAGGUGGCGACUGAGCAAUUGAUUCGCCAAGAAUCAAAAAAUGCACCCAUCACAAAAUAUUUCCCAAUAAGUGACGUCCCAGAAAUGCAUCAGUUGGAGGAAAAAAUUACCCAUACUAACAGAGAUGUAUAUGAAUCUGCGAUGUCUGCUAUAUUAUGCAACAAUCUCAGAAAUAUAAGGCUGCUGUUAAAUAAGGACGUCAUAGCGUCAAUAAACGUGGAUGGUUCACAUGGAAAGAUAAGCUUAAAAUCUUUCCCAAAUUUUUAUGCUUCAUUGACUGGAGCCAUUGCCAAAUUACCAUUUAAGGGAUUGUCGCCGGAGGAAGCGCUGCGCAAAGCCAUUGCUUUCGAAAAAGCUAAAUGCUUUAAGAAAGCUUAUCGACAAAAAAAAGAAGAAUUCUGCAUCUUAAACUACUACCCCUCCAAUUGUUUUUUUUUUUUUAAUAUAAAACUGCAAUAGUACAAAGUUGUAGUAUUUCAGACUUUAAAUUCUGACUUCUUAUUUCUGGACUGAAUUUUUCUUUUAUAAUUUUUAUUAUAAAAUUAUUUAAAAAAUGUGAUUUAUAAAACUCGUAAAGAAACCAGAACGAAUAUUUAUUUUAAAAUUUUCGCAGCUAAAAACUCACAAGAAAUAUUCUCCUAAAAGUUUGUAGCCCAUUUUAUUUCGUUUUUUUUUCUUAAAGAAUAAAUUUUGUUCAUGCGUUAUAUGAAAGCAAGAAAUCAACGCGAACUUUUUGAGUGGAGUACAAAACUGCGUAAACGAUUUUUUUAAGGUACAUUUUUUUAAAUUUUGAUGAUAAUUUCUUUCAUGAGUUUUGCAAAAAUUUUGAUUUGUCAGAUUUAUGUUAGAGAAGCUGUAUUUAAAGUGUUUAAAGUCAAUU